rnacentral:lncRNA from 1 species
AACCAAGAUGGCCGCCCAAUAACCAAGAUGGCCGCCCAAUAACUAAGAUGGCGGCCCUACAACCAAGAUGGCCGCCCUAGAUACAAGAUGGCCACCCUAGAUACAAGAUGGCCGCCCCAUAACCAAGAUGGCGGCCCCAUAACCAAGAUGGCGGCCCCAUAACCAAGAUGGCCGCCCAAUAACUAAGAUGGCGGCCCUACAACCAAGAUGGCCGCCCCAUAACCAAGAUGGCAGCCCUACAACCAAGAUGGCCACCCUAGAUACAAGAUGGCCACCCUAGAUACAAGAUGGCGGCCUCAUAACCAAGAUGGCGGCCCCCCCAAUUAAUGUCCCCCCCUAAUGAAGCCCUAAUUAACCCCCAUUAAUUAAUGCAGGCGUUAAUUACCCGGCAGGGGUUGAACUCCUUGGCGUUGGGGUUCAGGGUGGAUCGUCGGGCCUUCCUGCCAUAGGAAUACAUUCAGUUACCCCAGAGGAUCUAUGGGGUUAUGGGGUUAAUAGGGUCUAUGGGGUCUAUGGGGUCAAUGNGGGCUAUGGGGUCUAUGGGGUUAAUGGGGUCUAUGGGGUCUAUGGGGGCUAUGGGAUCAAUGGGUUCCAAUGGGAUCAAUAGGGUUAAUAGGGUCAAUAGGGUCAAUGGGUUCCAAUGGGAUCAAUGGACUCCAAUGGGGUUAAUGGGGUCAAUGGGGUCAAUGGGGCCAAUAGGGCUAAUAGGGUCAAUGGGGUCAAUGGAGGUUAAUGGGGUCAAUGGGGUUAAUAGGGUCAAUGGGGUCAAUGGGGUCUAUGGGGUUAAUAGGGUCCAUGGGGUCAAUGGGGUCAAUGGGGUUAAUGGGGUCUAUGGGGUCUAUGGGGAUCUAUGGGGUGAAUGGUGUCAAUGGACUCCAAUGGGGUUAAUGGGGUCAAUAGGGCUAAUAGGGUCUAUGGGGUCAAUAGGGUCAAUGGGAGCUAUGGGGUCAAUGGGGUCAAUGGCUUCCAAUGGAGAUCAAUGGGGCCAAUGGGGUCUAUGGGGUCAAUGGGGUCUAUGGGGUCUAUGGGGUUAAUAGGGUCAAUGGGGUCUAUGGGGUCUAUGGGGUUAAUAGGGUCAAUGGGGUCUAUGGGGUCUAUGGGGUCUAUGGGGUUAAUAGGGUCUAUGGGGUCUAUGGGGUUAAUAGGGUCCAUGGGGUCAAUGGG